GCUCCUAGAGAUCUGGUGGUGAGAUUUCGUAACAGCGUAUUCAAGCAAACAGUGCUUUCAGCCCUCAAAGGGAAUACUCCCUACUCCUUUGAAAAUACCACUCUCUCAUUCUAUGUAGACCUCUCAGGAGACACCCUGCAGUGGAGAAGACACAUGCAACCACUCACCACUCUCCUCAGAAACCACAGCAUACAAUAUAUGUGGCGUUCACCGAGAGCACUAAAAGUCGUGCAUGUGGAGUCCACCCACUCUAUCUCUGACCUCCAAGAAGCACCAGCACUCAUGAGCCAGCUGGGCCUUCCAGCAGAUUCCUUGCUUCCACCUGGACCCAGAG